AUGUUUACUCAAGGCUUGAUUACAUUGCUGCCUAUAGUCAGCAUAUACUAUGCUAAUAUAGUCUAUACAUUAUACUCUGCUAUAGUCGACUAUAAAGUCACACAUAGCAAGAUUAACAACACAGCGCUACUUCUGACGAGUGAAAUCUUUUAAUCUACCAGCAACGCGCCAAUUAUCGCUGCGUGCAGACCGCGCUGUACAUGUCUAGAUACGCUUCGCUAUUAAAGAUGGGUUAUUGCACUCAUCAGGGCUAAUCCGAUGGCAUAUUCCUCGGGUAGAGCCCUCAUUAUAUGAGUAUACUAGCUUUAACCAAUUGUGCAGGCCACACCCACAUUGCAUUUGAUAUUCAAGAGCAUUACAUUUCCGUCAGUUUGGAUAUUCGACGUUGUUUAAAAGCGGGGGAUUUUUUAGACGAUAAGCACAACGCAGUCGUGGCUUGUACAGUCUUUGCGUGGCUGUGUGAGCGCGCUACAUUAGAAUACGCUUGGCCAUCGAGCUUGUGCUAUUUGUAGCGGUUUUCUCGACCCAUAUUGUACUGGGAGAAAGAUAACUGGAUUUGUGAUUGCAUUAUAAAGCUGGUGACGUUUCACAAGAAACUCUUGAGUGCCCAGACAGAGCGAAAGUGCAGUAUAAGGUAUUGAUUACCGAAUCGCUUGUAGUUAUAAAAACAAGCUUUCGCAUCGCUCUCCGCCAGCUGGUUUGUGUUCUACGCGAUACGCUAAAGAAAAAAUUGGUAAAAUGGCAACGCAGACAGUAGCCCAGCCUUGUCGCCAGUGCUGCGGACGGGUCGCGGACCCCGGCGUCUACUGGGAUAAAGAUAUCAAAAGAUUCUUAGUAGAUAUCGACAGCAAAGAUGGGACUCACGGCUAUCUCAGGAUCCCUGUGGAUAGGGACGAGGUUUUCAAGAAUCCCCUCGAGGAAGCUUUCAAAAAUCAAUCCGACGUCACUAUCGUCUACACAGUAAACAACAACGAGAUAAUGACGGUCAAGCGAGGGCGAGGAAGCGUUUCCGACUGAUAAUCAAUGUUUGAUCGUCGAUCAACGUUUUGAACAAUGAGAGGAUGUAUGAAUAAUCGACUGUGGGUUCUCUCAGUGUUUGACACUGUAGAAUUGAGAAGACUUGUAACAAUGUUUUUUUCUGAUGUAUCCUGUAUUUUAAGCGUUUACAGGGAAAUACGAUAUAUAUGUUGUUCCUUUCUUCAAAAUAAUAAAUCAUGUUUGGAGAUUUCAAUGUAUAACGUUGCGUGGCUGAAAAAUAAAUCAGUGAAACAAGUUA